UACGUAGGGUGCGAGCGUUAAUCGGAAUUACUGGGCGUAAAGCGUGCGCAGGCGGUUCGUGAUGUCUGAUGUGAAAGCCCCGGGCUCAACCUGGGAACUGCAUUGGAAACUAGCGGGCUGGAGUGUGGCAGAGGGGGGUGGAAUUCCACGUGUAGCAGUGAAAUGCGUAGAGAUGUGGAGGAACACCGAUGGCGAAGGCAGCCCCCUGGGCUAACACUGACGCUCAUGCACGAAAGCGUGGGGAGCGAACAGG
rnacentral:rRNA from 1 species